GAGGGAAACCGAGUCUUAAUUGGGCGUUAAGUUGCAGGGUAUAGACCCGAAACCCGGUGAUCUAGCCAUGGGCAGGUUGAAGGUUGGGUAACACUAACUGGAGGACCGAACCGACUAAUGUUGAAAAAUUAGCGGAUGACCUGUGGCUGGGGGUGAAAGGCCAAUCAAACCGGGAGAUAGCUGGUUCUCCCCGAAAGCUAUUUAGGUAGCGCCUCGUGAAUUCAUCUCCGGGGGUAGAGCACUGUUUCGGCUAGGGGGCCAUCCCGGCUUACCAACCCGAUGCAAACUGCGAAUACCGGAGAAUGUUAUCACGGGAGACACACGGCGGGUGCUAACGUCCGUCGUGAAGAGGGAAACAACCCAGACCGCCAGCUAAGGUCCCAAAGUCAUGGUUAAGUGGGAAACGAUGUGGGAAGGCCCAGACAGCCAGGAUGUUGGCUUAGAAGCAGCCAUCAUUUAAAGAAAGCGUAAUAGCUCACUGGUCGAGUCGGCCUGCGCGGAAGAUGUAACGGGGCUAAACCAUGCACCGAAGCUGCGGCAGCGAACGUAUCACCCAAGACAACUUUACGGAGUUGACGAUUGACGGAGCGAAGCGACGUCAAAGCGUUCAUUAAAGUCGAGUUGGCUUAGGGAUACGUUCGUUGGGUAGGGGAGCGUUCUGUAAGCCUGUGAAGGUGUGUCGUGAGGCAUGCUGGAGGUAUCAGAAGUGCGAAUGCUGACAUAAGUAACGAUAAAGCGGGUGAAAAGCCCGCUCGCCGGAAGACCAAGGGUUCCUGUCCAACGUUAAUCGGGGCAGGGUGAGUCGACCCCUAAGGCGAGGCCGAAAGGCGUAGUCGAUGGGAAACGGGUUAAUAUUCCCGUACUUGGUGUUACUGCGAAGGGGGGACGGAGAAGGCUAUGUUGGCCGGGCGACGGUUGUCCCGGUUUAAGCGUGUAGGUGUGUGUUCCAGGUAAAUCCGGUUCACUUUAACACUGAGGCGUGACGACGAGGCACUACGGUGCUGAAGCAACAAAUGCCCUGCUUCCAGGAAAA
rnacentral:rRNA from 2 species